rnacentral:sRNA from 1 species
GCCGCAAGUUUGCAGCAAACAUUGCCGCAAGCUUGCAGCAAACGUUUGCUGCAAACUUGCCACAACCAUUUUACCAUGCAAAUGAAGUUUGCGGCAAACAUAAUUAUGCAAAUUAGAUUUGCCGCAAGCUUGCGGCAAUUGUUUGUGGCAAACUUGCGGC